UACGUAGGGAGCAAGCGUUGUCCGGAAUCAUUGGGCGUAAAAGCGCGCGUAGGUGGCUUCGUAAGUCCGCUGUGAAAGUCAAAGGCUCAACCUUUGAAAGCCGGUGGAUACUGUGAAGCUAGAGUACGGAAGAGGCGAGUGGAAUUCCUGGUGUAGCGGUGGAAUGCGCAGAUAUCAGGAGGAACACCAAUAGCGAAGGCAGCUCGCUGGGACGUUACUGACACUGAGGCGCGAAAGCGUGGGGAGCGAACAGG
rnacentral:rRNA from 1 species